UACGGGGGGGGCAAGCGUUGUUCGGAAUUACUGGGCGUAAAGGGCUCGUAGGCGGCCAACUAAGUCGGACGUGCAAUCCCUCGGCUUAACCGGGGAACUGCGUCCGAUACUGGAUGGCUUGAGUUUGGGAGAGGGAUGCGGAAUUCCAGGUGUAGCGGUGAAAUGCGUAGAUAUCUGGAGGAACACCGGUGGCGAAGGCGGCAUCCUGGACCAACACUGACGCUGAGUGAGCGAAAGCCAGGGGAGCAAACGGG
rnacentral:rRNA from 1 species